CUACGCACGGUUGAUAAAUGGGUCUCUUUGCUUGUCUUGGACACCUGGUAAAGCAAUCAACCAAAACCACACCCACACACAUCUAUAAGCAAUCAUCCAAUCAACCCUUGCACAGAUACAUUGCAGGCAAACAGAGAGAGACUGGGAUGGAUUAACUAGCCCAUUUACACAACAGCAGGAUUGAUCGUCUAUCACAGCACUCGGUCUGGGUCCCUCUCAAGCAGCCGAGAACCUCCCAGCGCCAAGAUGGACAAGCCGGGCGGUAGCAGGGAGCGGCACGCGGAGGCCAGAGGGGAGGGCAGAGGAGGGGGUGUUCCGGGUCCAAUGGACCGCUCCAGGGAGAAGGAGCCAAGGAAGAACCAGCGAUCGCCACCCAAGCCCUCGUCCUCCAGCUCUCGGGACCGAGAGAAGACCGGCUCCAAGGACAAGAGGAGACCGCGGUCCAGGUCUCGCUCCAGGGAGCGGCGAAAAGAAGACGAGGCGUCUUCGAAGAGCACCUCCAAAGCAUCGGGCUCGGCCACUUCUUCCUCCAAGGAAGCGAGGAAAGUGAAAGACGAGGAGAAGAAGGAAACAACUCCAAGCCGCCCCCAUGAGGUUAAAGACGACAAAAGGGAAACCACGAAACCCAUCGCUAAGAAGGAAAGCCAAACGUCCAGCUUCGAGUUCAAGAGGGAAAGCAAAGACCCGGAUUUCGACGGCGACAGCGUGACGGCGGCAACGGCAGACAAAGUUCCCCAGUCCUCGAUAGAUGUUAAAACGGAGACACCAGGCGAAGCCUCGCCCGGCCCGCGGCCGAUCGAGCGGGAGCAGACCACGGUGGAGAUGUGCUGUCAGACGGAUGUGAAGGGCAUGCUCAGGGCGGAGGACAUCAAGAAGGAACCCCUGAUGCACAUCAAAGAGGAGCCGUGCGACUUCUGGUCGUCCGAGCCCUCGGAUGCGGCGAACACCGGCCCGCAGGCCGCCUCGCCGCCGCCUAGCCCGCCGUCCCCUCCUCCUAGCCCGCCGUCCCCUCCCUUGAGCCCCGCGCCAACGCCUUCGUCUUCUACUGUCUUUCCUGCCGUCACCGUGGUAACAUGCCCACCUCAGAGUGUCGCCCUGCAAGUGCCUGCGGAGCCCGCGCCCGCCAUGGUGAAGCAGGAGGUGGUGGAGCGACCCUGCUCCUCCUCCGAUGAGGACUUCAAUGUGAACUCCUUGUUGGACAACCUGGGACUGUUGGGGUCGGAGGGCAGGAGGGAGCAGCAGGGAGCCAGCGGGCCGCUCAAGCAGCAGCAGCGGCAGGAGGUGGUGGUGGUCAAGGUGGAGCCUGGGCUGGGGCUAAUGGUGGAGCCAGGGCUGGGGGUGAUGCCGGACCCUGGGCUGGGGCUCAAGGUGGAGCCAGGGCUGGGGGUGAAGGUCAAGGUGGAGCCAGGGCUGGGGCUGGGGUUGAAGGUCAAGGUGGAGCCUGGGCUGGAGGUGGUGGAGGAGCGGGAGGCGGACGAGGUGCAGGGCGAGUGUCAGCAGGCACCCACUCCGGCCCCCGUGGCGGUCAAAUCGAAAUCCCAGGGGAAGCGGGUGACCUGGAACAUCGAGGUGCCGGAGGGACCGCAGCCGGAGAAAUCGGCCAGCAAGCUGGCCCUGUACAAGCUCAAGCUGAAGCAGGAAGGUGCUCGGAGACCAGCCAAUAAGGUAAGCACACGCCACAAACACAGUGACACGGUGCACCCACUUCAAACGGCCACUAGGUGUCACGUGUCUCCCUAAUCAGUAUGAUCUGACAUGCUUGCUGCAUGAUACUAUGCUGGGCACAAUAGACAAUGGAUUUCUUAGGAAAGCACCAAGUUUCUCAGACUGUCGAUCUUGUCGUACCUGUCCAAACCUGUUAAUGGCUGCUAAUGGGGGGGAAAGGGUGCGUCAGCUGUUAUUAAUCACGCAAUAACAAUCACAAACCGAUGGCAAUAAGAUCAAAAUAGUAGGGCUAAGAUACACAACAGAAAUGUAGGUAUUGCCCAUAUCCAUCUGAAGAUACAAAUGUGUAGAAAUUGUGGAAACAACACAUCAGGAUUAAACGGUCCUGAAAUAUUGCCUGGGUCUUAAAAAAUAUUUUUAAAGUCGUUUUUAAAAGUUGUAAGCAUAGACUUGUGUAUAAUAUGGCCAUAGUGUCUUGGGUGUCAACCACUGGUUUACAGCCCCCUGUUUUGAAGGAUUUUGAUAGAUUUCUGCUUGUCACUGUGGUCAUUUGAGAUUUACCAGCAUAGGAAAAGAUCCAUAUUUGGCACAUUGAGGGCAGGAAUUGAAAAUGCUGCCUGGCAGUACAAAACUCAUUAGAUAAGUUUUGAAUGGAAUCCAACUGUCAAAUGGCUCCAUUAAAAACCCAUUAUAUCAGAUGAACUCAUCCCUGAGAUCCGAAGCAAGCAGAGAUACAAUAUACUGCUUUCAUAUUCCAAGAACGAAACCACCUUAACUUCCCUUGACUUAAUAUGGUCAUGGGUCGCUCCCCAUCCGACCAGAUCAGUGAACCACCGUUUCCUGGAAUAUCUGCCUGUAGGGGCUCCCCUUACAGGCGGCAUCUGAUUGGUUCAGAAGCAGCCGUUCAUGUGUGCGGUUCUAACUUUCUUUAGCUCUUCAUUUCUGCCGUUCUUAAGGCUUUUGGGUAGCCUGAUUGGAAAGCUGUCGUUCCCCCCUGUUUAUACUAACAGCUGGUGGCACUGUUCCUGUUUUUUAAAUCCUAUUUUAACACCGGCGGUGUUCACCGUUCCACAUCCGUUCAUGUAUAUCAGUGAUUCUUCAAGUCACCCAGCUGAGGAUGCUAUUAAUGACUCCUAGUUGUUGUUUCAAAUACAUAUGUGAGGAACAACCUUAAAAUAUGAAAUUACUAGAGCUGUCAAGCGAUUAAAAUAUUUAAUCGCAUUAAUGUCAUAGUUAACUCACGAUUAAUCGCAAAUUAUUUUUCUUUGCUAAAUAUCCAUUGAUUUUUUUGUCCCAUAAUUCUUCUCAUUUUAAUUCUCUUAUCAACAUGGUGAAGUGCAUCGGCUUGCCUUGUGCAAAUGAUUUUUUAUUGAUAACAACAUUGGCAUAUACUGAUCAAAACAGGACGAUACAAAAAAAGAGCCAUUAGUGCAAUUAUACGACUGCUUUGAACAAAUGUCAUUUGAACAUAGCAGUCAGGCUACUGCUUCUUUGUUUUGAGCCAAAGAAAAAAAAAAAAAAAAAAAAAAAUUUAAAUAAAAUAAUUGCGUUAAUC
ensembl:lncRNA